GGAACCCUGGGGCCUUGCUCCCCAUGCUUUUUUGGGUGUCACAAAUCAAAAUGUCACACCAUUAAUGUCUCUGUGUUGAUUAUUUCUAUACCAUAGAAUAACCGGUGCUCCGAGAAAUAGAGAGUUGGGCAAAGUUCCUGUCCUGUGGAGCUUACAGUCGGAAAAAUCCUCCACACAGAAACAAGGCUGGCAGAAUAGCAGUUGAUCCGCAGCAGGAGCCCGAAGAGUGAAGGGAGCACACCUAGAAAGACGUUCCAAAAAUGGCUGUAUGGUGUUUGGAAAUCUGGGUACCAGCUGCAGUGUGCACAUACUUGCAGAGGCUUCUGUUCAGCUAAGAAUGGGCUGUGGACUCAGGAUUACGAGUCCGAGUGCUGACAACAUUUUACGCCCCAACUUCUGGACUCCGUUCCCUCCAAUGACACUAUGUCAAGUCUCCAUAAUACAGAGAGAGAGUGACUGAAGAAUUGCCUAUGUUCAGGAUCUGAUAUGAAAUAACCUACAAAAUAUGGACAUCUUAGACUGUGUUUAAUGCAGUGCUUGGCUUAUAGUAUGCAGCAGGAGACUACAAGUUUUGCAAGACUUGUCUUGGAUCCCCCCCCAAAAUACUGAGAGGGCAUUGAACUCUGCAACUUGUUGGUUGUUGGGGAGAGGGGAAACCCAGGAAAAAAUAAAUCUUUAACUCAAAACA
rnacentral:lncRNA from 1 species